rnacentral:rRNA from 1 species
CCUACGGGUGGCAGCAGUGAGGAAUAUUGGUCAAUGGACGAAAGUCUGAACCAGCCAUGCCGCGUGCAGGAUGACGGCUCUAUGAGUUGUAAACUGCUUUUGUACAAGGGUAAACCUGAAUACGUGUAUUCAGCUGAACGUCCUAUACGAAUAAGGAUCGGCUAACUCCGUGCCAGCAGCCGCGGUAAUACGGAGGAUCCAAGCGUUAUCCGGAUUUAUUGGGUUUAAAGGGUGCGUAGGCGGAUGGAUAAGUUAGAGGUGAAAGGUUCGGGCUUAACUCGGGAACUGCAUCUAAAACUGUUGAUCUAGAGAGUAGAUGCGGUAGGCGGAAUGUAUGGUGUAGCGGUGAAAUGCUUAGAGAUCAUACAGAACACCGAUUGCGAAGGCAGCUUACCGAACUAUAUCUGACGUUGAGGCACGAAAGCGUGGGGAGCAAACAGGAUUAGAUACCCGGGUAGUC